rnacentral:rRNA from 1 species
CCUUCGGGUACGAAUUGAGUACAGGUGGUGCAUGUUGUCGUCAGCUCGUGUCGUGAGAUGUUGGGUUAAGUCCCGCAACGAGCGCAACCCUUGUGUUUAGUUGCAACAGGUCAAGCUGUGCACUCUAGACAGACUGCCGUGGACAACACGGAGGAAGGUGGGGAUGACGUCAAAUCAUCAUGCCCCUUAUGAUCUGGGCUACACACGUGCUACAAUGGCCGGUACAACGGGCAGCGAAGGAGCGAUCCGGAGCGAAUCCUAAAAAGCCGGUCCCAGUUCGGAUUGCAGGCUGAAACUCGCCUACAUGAAGUUGGAGUUGCUAGUAAUCGCGAAUCAGAAUGUCGCGGUGAAUGCGUUCCCGGGUCUU